rnacentral:rRNA from 1 species
AUUGAACGCUGGCGGCAUGCCUUACACAUGCAAGUCGAACGGCAGCACGGGAGCUUGCUCCUGGUGGCGAGUGGCGAACGGGUGAGUAAUACAUCGGAACGUACCCCGAAGUGGGGGAUAACGUAGCGAAAGUUACGCUAAUACCGCAUAUUCUGUGAGCAGGAAAGAGGGGGAUCGCAAGACCUCUUGCUUUAGGAGCGGCCGAUGUCGGAUUAGCUAGUUGGUGAGGUAAAGGCUCACCAAGGCGACGAUCCGUAGCGGGUCUGAGAGGAUGAUCCGCCACACUGGGACUGAGACACGGCCCAGACUCCUACGGGAGGCAGCAGUGGGGAAUUUUGGACAAUGGGCGCAAGCCUGAUCCAGCCAUGCCGCGUGAGUGAAGAAGGCCU